rnacentral:tRNA from 1 species
GCGGGUGUGGCGGAAUUGGUAGACGCACCAGAUUUAGGUUCUGGCGCCGCGAGGCGUGGGGGUUCAAGUCCCUUCACCCGCA